rnacentral:lncRNA from 1 species
AAGAUCAGUUUCUCUUAAUCACAUCACGGGGCGCAUUCAUCUCGUCUAUUAGUCUUAGAGAAAUUGGUGGUAGCCACUACGUCAAGAGCAAAUAGAAUCGAAAGAGCAAAUUUUCCUCGAUGAGUUGAAGGUUUGUGACUCCUUCGCUUCGACCGUACCCUCUUUCUUUAGUAGCGAGUCUAACUUUACAGAUAUCAUUGAUUUUCACCAUGACCAGCCCUGACUUGACUGGUGGGAGAGAAAGUCUCAGCGCUAACUCACUAGACGGACAAUCGACCCUAGGGAGAGACCCGAUUCAGCCUGGGAACAUCACUUCCUAUAGUGGCAGGUAAUUAUGGGUUCUGCCGCACCUGAUUCCCCAGAAACGAGAAACCAUCACAUCAAUAAAGGAAUGCAAGUGUAGUUUUCACCAGAUCUAAUGUCUGAUUUCGACCUUGAUCUAUUUGAAACGAACUGCCCUACGUUCAAUAAAAAGAAAGACUGUCUGGCUGUAGCCAUGCCGAAUGGAGAAGGAGGGGCAAGGGCAGACCGCUGCUGGUAGCCGUACGUAAUUGGGUGGCGCGCUAUAGAUCGGAUCCUAAGUAGCUAUAGGAUGAACCCUGGAAGACGGCCCUACCGGAGGAAGCGGGUAGGGUGAAUCUCCGUAACGAUUCUAACGACCUAGCUAACCGUUGAUUCAAUGUCCUCUUAAUUGGGGCACCGGUUUUUUUCUUGUUUUCAACUAGGUCUUUUCCCUUCGUGGUUAAACAUGAGUUUGGAAAUGCUCAUUCUGUACAUCUCCUCGUCAAUCUGUGCAUGAGCUUCUGGGCUAUGUCUCGCUUACCCUCUUUAGUAGAGAUCAACUGCUUAUACUGGAAUUAAGAUCUGUUAUCCAAGCCUCGGGCUUAAUCCGUAUAAUGGUUAUCAACUACUGGCAUUGUGGGGUAAGAUUUCUUUGACAUAGAAGGAUGUCCCUCGGAAGGUUUAGCUACGUCCUGUAAGAACUUGCUACAAGCGGGCAACUUACUACCUCUCUGUCUCCUCUUCUUAUAUAGUUGAUGGACUUAGUUUAUCAUAUAAUAUAAGAGACGGGUCGGUGAGCAAGUGAGCUGAUCUCGCCUUUGUUGAUCCGCUUGAAGAGAGUUAUCACGACCCUGCUACAUCGCGAUCGUUUAUUCCCAAGCGAUAGAGAAUACAAAGCACACAAGGCGCAUGAUGAACAAGAGUAGCUUCCCGUCCCUUACUCCAUUUCUUGUCUUAAAUCUAAAAAAGAGUGGGCUUCCUUCUUCUAUGAGUCGAAGACAGCCUCGAAGCGCCAAACGAACUGACCCUACCCAAGCCUUUUCCAGGCAAGAUCUCAGCCAAAUGAGCCUGAUCGUAACAAGCUUUAAUUAAAUCAAUGGGACCGGCUUAAAAAGAUGGAGAUUUUUUCUCUACUAGCUGCCCCGCUCAUAGAAUGGAUCGCUCAAGAAGAGCACUUUUCGGGCAUAAGAUAGCGAAGUUUUAUACUAUCAUGAGGGGGAAAUGGAAUGAAACUCGUGAUUUGAUGAUGAAAGAUCAACCUAGCCAACGUGGCCUAUGAAACCGGUUUCAUAUCUUAAGUAAGAAAGGUGAGAAAAGGUUUUCUCGUGCCUUUGACGCAGGUGCCAAAACCAAAGCAUACGAAUUUCAGUUCUUAUGAGCCGGGACACCCAACUUCUCCCGAACAGGCACAAGCUGAGUCAACAAUGGAGAGAGACAAGGGAGAGCAACUCUUCCUACUUUAUCAAUUAUACUAAAAGUAAGUCACUGCCCAAGGUCUGAAACAUGCUUUGUACUCAACCCGAUGAUCCACACUUUAGGGCCGAACCCACAAGUCACUUUCAACUUGCGACAGUUCUUCGAGGUCAAACCUUCAAUCUUAGGGCAAUUUUCAAUUGAACCCAGACAACUUUGAAGCUUUUCAAAGAAAUUCCUUGAAGUCAUUCUUGAAAAUAAAACAGAUGACAUAAUAAAAGCUUAUAACCAAAUCUUUAAACCAAAAAAAAUGGGUAUACCAGUAAUGAAUGUCGAAUCAAAGAAUUGUUCUAUCUUUCCUUGAAAGACUGAGGUGCAUUGCCUACUCUUCCUGGUGUGGUGGGGCACCUUGCUAGUUUAAGCAGAACAUUUGAGAAGGGUUAAACCCUACAUUAUAGCUUGGGAUGGUAUCCCCGUGGUUGGUGUGGCCUUAAGCCCAGUGCUCGGUUGAACUCGCUACCGUUAAAACUCUCUCUACUUCUUCCCUAUUAGUUGAGUUAGCUUCACCUCAGGCGACAUCGCGGUACAGUAGUACCAUCGACAGUAGUUCAACCACCGUCUGACCCACGAACGAAGUUGUGACCACUCGGAGAAAUCCUUAUGGCCACUAAAUAGAAAGAUUUCAUCGGUCUUGAGCUCCCUAGGUUUCAUUUCUCGUCUCAUAAUUUCAACAAGAGACGCCCUUAGGUACGGGGGGCCUAUUUCGACCCAACCACCACUCAAAAGAUGGUGCAAGAGCCUUAGUAGAGAUCGGAGAAAGAUCCACUGGAUUCUGUAAGAGUCACAGCGGAUUCGUGCAAUUUGACCUAAAACUCCUAAGGAUAAAACUAAGUUACCACAACUUUUGUUUUCGAUUUUGAAUAUUUCUUCACGGACUACUUGACUACCCAGCAAGCUCCGGCUCGAAAGCAAAUAGACUCGGAAUCGGAACCUCUCAACUGGAAGACCAUAAGACAUGGGAGAGGCCUCAUACGAGCCAAUAGUAGCGUUCCAUAGGAAGGAAUACGGUCCAGAAGAUGGGCUAAUAAACAUGUGGGAAACCCGAGAGUGCUCCAUAAGACCUCGAGUCACUGUCUGCCUUUAGAGCACUGACUAGCUAUUGGAAGCAAUAAGAAGAAAGAGACCUUGGCCAGAGUAGAGUAGCCACAGAAGGGGCAGAUGGGGAAGAAAGCGGAAUAUCCGGUCUUUGAUAGGAAUCAAGCUAUAUGCGGAGAAGACGGUCUUUCGGCGAAUACGCUGUUAGGACCGGAAAUCUAACUCAAUGAGGUUGAAACAUGGCAUAAUACGUAUCCAUUUCAAUACAAUAAUCCAAUUCCGAACUCGAGGAAAGCCAAUAGCUUCCAAUAGCAGCAGAAGGAAAGGGAAGAUAUUACCGCGACUCAGAAACCUUUUUCAGGUCACAGGCGUAAAGACCAACCAUGCUUAGGAUAUUAUACGGAGGCUCCUACUUCACUCGACCAGUUUUGCUUCUGAAUGUGCAGCUACUUGUCAUUACAUCGAGUUCUAUUCCAUCUCCUUUGAAAAGCCCCACAUAUUGCCAUACCUGUGGAUAAAAAACCACUUGUAUCAGUAUAAGGCCAAAGAGACCCAGUCUUUCUCUUUCUAAUUGUCUCGCCAAUAUCAGUAUAAGGAGAAGUCAAAAAGAGUGGGAUUCAAAAGACUUUUGAAGUAGUUGUCCCGAGGUAAUAUUUAGAGUCUCAAUCACGUCUGCCUCGCGCAAAGCAAUUGAAUUCCCCAGUGUAAGGUUUAGUCCUAAGGGCCUCCCAAUAGAAUUGAUUUGAACGAGCUCCAGCCACUCUACUUCCACCGUCGUGUAUCCCAGCGGAGAAUUCGAAUACCGGAACAUCCUUCCAUCCCUCAUUCACUCUGGUACACUGGAACGAUAACUUCACUUCCAGCCGAUUUGGGCGAGGUAACAAUUAGAUUUCACACGGCACUUGAACUGUAGAAUGGACUAAAGGCAUACGGAUAGCAUUCCCUCUAAGGAGGUGGGGAGUCAAAAGACUGCAAGGACGAGGGGAGGGCAGCAGACCUAUUACUAGCUUGGGAAGGGGAAGUCGUUUCGUUAAGUCGAAUUGAAAGGUAGGUUUUGUCAGUGAUUAAAUGGAAAGGGGGAGUCUUCGGCCUAACUCACAGGUAGAUCUAAAGGCUAUUAAAUAGUCGCCUAAGCAGACGAUUAAAUAGUAGCCUAAGCAGACGAUGGACGAGACUCUGGAAGAGUGGCUUUCUGCUGAGGUUGCUUCUGACGGGCUUGUGACCAAUUCGGUAAAACCCCCUAGUGAAAACUAUGUCUGUAUGUAUAACCGUCGCUUCAAAUCAAUUGAAUCAAUGCAAGCAAUGCUGUUCCCACAUUCCUAUUCCUAGAAGUUGUCACUAGACCCGUUGCCCCCGCAGCAAGGGCAGGUCUCGAGAACUUUCCGCCCGCCUUCACAUAGGCAGGUGACCACUUCCUUUCCCAACUCUUGGGCCAUUCCUUUUUCUCUUAGAAUGACUAAUAUGAGAUCGGUCGUUCGCAUCAAUUGCAGUAAAUGAGAAACUAGCAUGGAAUCUUGUAUCUGUCUCAUUUGUCAAAAGACCGAUGAGCCUGCUUUCAUUCGUUGCCGGACAACCGCUCGGUUAUUAGGCCUCUUGACCUCUUUUUCGCGCUAUCCCAUCACGUAGUGGUGUGGUGGGUAAGGAAGUCUUCAGGUGCUGCAUGGCUGUCGUCAGCUCGUGUCCACAAAAGCAUUCCGGGGCUGGCGACGGGGGAGUUCACCCAAGGCUUUCACCCGGGCUUCCUUUUCUAUUCCCAUCCACUGCCCUUCCCCAAAACCUUUCCUGGAAGGAAGUGAAAGGGUCCUCUAGCCUAACGCUCGCCUAGCUAAAGGAAAGAUAUUAGUUCCUAGCUUGAUAUAAACCUAGCUAAAAAUCCCUAAGGACCCAUUGAUUAGCUAGUUACCGUAGUUGGGUUCCGAUCUGUGCAGAAGUCAGUCUUAUUCACUUCUGUGUGUAAGCCUUUGCUUCUUUGCUUGCAACGUAAAGAAUCACUCUUUCUCCUUUGCUUGCUUUUGGUAUACGAAAGAGAUAGAUUCUUCUUUCGUUCCAGCUUUAUUCUCUAAUCAGAGAGAAAGUUCUAUGUUGUAUGAUGUCUCAUAAGACCUUGUGAAAGGCUCUUUAUGGGCCUCAGCCUUAGAAUGAAGAUGACUAUGACGGUCUUCGCUCGAUCAAGACCGGCUCCGACCAGCGAUCGUCGUUAUCGCUAAACUAACUUACUUGAAGCUACCAGCUACAGGCUACAAGUCAAGACUGCUUCUAUGCCUACUGCUGCUCUGGCGAGUGCUUCACUUGCUUUGCUUGUAAGGCUAUAUACUAACCUAACCUUCUAGCAAGACUAGCGUAAGCACUAUAAGCAAAAGUCAUAUAGGACUAGAAUAUGUCAGCUUUGUCUUCAAUAAAGAGGUCCUAGCACUAUGUUCUUAGCUCCUAGCAAUAUUAGCGAAAGCACUUAUAGGAGACAUAUAUACUCACAAGAGUAAGGGAAGGGGGGUGAUCUUCUUGCUCAAGCAGUCCUGUAGCAUUGGUAUGCGCUAGCUUUAUUCAAAGCUCUUUCUUUAUUCGACUCCUGCCCUGCGGUAUAAGUCUUCAGUCUCUGUGGUAGCUUUUCCUGUCGCAACGGUCUAUAGCCUAUCAGCCUUCGUUCUAGCUGCUAGCUCCAUUGGUGACUAGCAUCUCUUAGUCUUAGGCAUCUCUUUCAUUUCAGGCUUCGUUGAAUCUCUCGUCCUGCUCUAUAGGUCUUCUGGCUUGCUACUGAUUGAUAGUGAAAAUCCUGCUCCUACUAACAACAACUAGAGACUUGUUAGCUUCGAUUUAUGCCUUUCGAUCCUCAUACUGAGCAGCCUAGCUCCGAGACUUGUAGUUGAGCCUAUUACUAACCUUUCCUAGCCACUAGAAGGGGGUGGGUUUGAACCUGGAAAGAAAAUCAAACGUAAAGCAACUACAGUAAGGGAUGCGCGGUCCAAGCAAAAGAAACGACCAGGUACAUAAUCUCACACUUGCUCCUCUUGGCUGGCAUGGGUCCUUUCAGGCACAGGUCAACUAAACGAUAAGUGUGGCCCAUACGUGAUGGUCCACUUGAGACGCCACUACUCCCAUGACUUUCUUGGUUGGACCAAGGCCAUUUCCGGCAAGUCUUUCACUCUCUUUAACUCGUUUAUCAAAAGCCCCUCUUCAGAGAAAGCAAGGAAAGCCCCCUAUCUAUCACUUAAAGGCUUAGGUGCCACGGUUCGAGUAUUUCAUGAUUCCAAAAAACAGCUCGAUGCACUGACCGGGUUUGGCUCUGGCGGAUCAGGAUCUUUCUCAAACGAACAAUUGAAGAGGAGACUGAACUGAACUCUAAAUCAUACACCAGUUGGUUAUCUGGUCCUCCAUUGGAACCUCGAGCUUACUUACUUCUCGAGCGAGAGUGGAACGAACCUAUAAAGCACGCACGGUUCGAGAAAGCUGUGAAAGCAUUCCGCCGGGAAGUCGACCACGGAAUGUGAGCCACAUGAUAUGAAUCCUCUUGUGUUGACCGGCUUAAUCUUGGGGAAGGAAGAAGUGUCUACAAGAGAUACCGGGUGGAAACCCGCUAGAAUCUCUACUUCUCUUUUCACCUUGCUCAACCAUGCUCACAGAUAGAAACUUGAUAGAAAGAUAGUGCCAUUUGAUGGAUAACUAGGAAAAAGGGAGAAGGAGGUCAUAAAAAAGUCACGGCUGGCUGGUAGUAACGACUUGUCACGAUCCAAUUGUUUAUUUAAUAUAUAUAGUUUUCAUGUUCCAAAUGUAAUACAUAAAAAUCAAUAUCUUUUUGAUUCCGAUCGUCAAUCCACUUUCCAUAAUAAUAAGUAAUUGGCUAACAAGCCUAUUUGAUUAAAGGCCCCCAAUGCUUAGUUAUAAAUGAAAUGGUGGAAUCUCCGGGUUGACACUAAGGGAGGAAGUGACCAAUGGGCCAAGGGAACAAGUGAAAAACAAAACACUCACCAAGGAGAAAAGCGCUGGCUGAGCAGCAGCUCCAGCUCGAGCUCACUAUUACCUUUCUUUCAGGCCCUAUCUUAUCCCAAACCACUAGUCUUUAGCAGCUCUAUUCGAUAGAUGUGGAUUGACAGAUUAUGGGUCCCUAAUUGGACAGGCGGCUAGCACUACUACGACUGGCACUAUGACUCGUUACCUGGAAGUGCCUCGUCAUACCGCCUACGGAAGUUCCCUUGGUCUGACCUCGGGGUCACAUUAGACUGGCGCUGCUAUUACGGCUGACACUGCUACUUGCACUACUAAUAGCUCGAACUCGGAUUGGGGGCACGAAACGCAGAUAUUUCUCGCUGCUUUCUAUCUAGUAGUACUGGUUCCGAACUCACAAUCAAUCAACAUCCAUUCUAUCUUACAAACAACUAAGCAGUAACCCUUAUACAACUAUUUUUAAAGAAAAGGGGAAGGAACUUAACGACCCAUUUGGCCCCGUUCUGUAAGAAACAAAAGAACCGGAUGAAUUCAAAAGGCUUCGUGCCUAUCGUUUGUCCAAAGGAAAACAAAAGAGCUUAUGGGACCCCGGCCCUUACUUUUUAGCAGGGCGCCUGACUGCACGGAAUAAAAUACCAGAUGUGAAGUAGUCAAGCCCAAAAAGCACACUUAUUAGUUGGGGCGGGGGCUGCUUUUGAAAAAGGUAUGCCUUAAUAGGAGUAAAGCGGGCUUCUUUCUACUCUUUGGUAUAUCUCUGGGCUACUUCUCUAGAUCGGCAUCUGCAUCUCGAUCCUGACAAUGAUUCCUACCUUGGCCUCGCCCUUGGCUAUCCAUCAUGUUCUCGAUCCUCGUUCCCACUACCAUCUACAGCUCACGCUCCUUUGGCACCAUACCACGCCUUCUGAAUAACUAAUCACACCUUUGCUAAAGGAUCCAUUUGCCUAGUGGUGGGCAACACCCAAAAGGCAUGCCUUAGUAGUUGUAGGCUCCUCCCUUUUGCCAAGCCUAUCCUUGGGCUUUUAUCUCUUGCUCAUGCUCCCUAUCUCGAUACAUAUCGAGCUCUCAAUCUCGAUCUUGACCUGUAUUCGCACCCCGAAUCCUCCACCUUUCCUGGAGGUGCCUAUUCAUAUCUAUAUUUGCUAUUUGGUGUUGAUGUCGUUAAUUGGGGCGAAGAAAAUGGGUUGGUUUAUCUAGCCCGAUAGCGGAAACCAUUAAUACGGGGCACUGCGUGGCUUAAAAGGCUCUAUUUUAACAAUGAAUGGUUGUCGUCCCCCCGCUUCCCUUUCCCUGACUUAGGGCUUAUGGCUGGCCUAGUAGUUUCUCUUCUCUAGAUGGAGUACCGAUCGGGUCUAUCUUAUGCGCCAGGGGAUAUCUUAACUAAGCCGACUUCUAUUGUUGGCUCGAUUCCUACCAUUCCUCAAUCAAAACCUUUGGAACUCUCCGCUUGGUCAUAUUCAAAGAGGCAGGGCUAGAGCGGGGGAAUUGGCCAAUGCUAAGGAGAACAAGGCAGACUACAGCAAGAGCAACCAGC